rnacentral:rRNA from 1 species
AUGCUAGAGCUCUCUUCCAGCAGGUCGACGAGCGCGCAGCGACGAAGGAACCCGACGGCGACGGUAAGCUUCUUCCUUCUCCGUGCUCUCGCUACACCCCAAUUUUUGCCCGUGCCUCCGCUCCCGCGCCCCCUUGUUCUCCUCCCCCACGGCGCCUCCUCCCUCCCUCUUUCUCACCAGCGGUCCCCUCCGUCUCCCAUGGCGCACGCCCCCCUUCCUCCCGCCUCCUCGUUGUUGUGA